UACAGAGGGGGCAAGCGUUGUUCGGAAUUACUGGGCGUAAAGGGCGCGUAGGCGGCCCGCUAAGUCGAACGUGAAAUCCCCGAGCUCAACUCGGGAACUGCGUCCGAUACUGGCGGGCUUGAAUCCAGGAGAGGUGAGUGGAAUUCCGAGUGUAGAGGUGAAAUUCGUAGAUAUUCGGAAGAACACCAGUGGCGAAGGCGGCUCACUGGACUGGUAUUGACGCUGAGGUGCGAAAGCGUGGGGAGCAAACAGG
rnacentral:rRNA from 1 species